AUCAUGCAGUCGAGCGAAUGGAUUAAGAGCUUGCUCUUAUGAAGUUAGCGGCGGACGGGUGAGUAACACGUGGGUAACCUGCCCAUAAGACUGGGAUAACUCCGGGAAACCGGGGCUAAUACCGGAUAACAUUUUGAACCGCAUGGUUCGAAAUUGAAAGGCGGCUUCGGCUGUCACUUAUGGAUGGACCCGCGUCGCAUUAGCUAGUUGGUGAGGUAACGGCUCACCAAGGCAACGAUGCGUAGCCGACCUGAGAGGGUGAUCGGCCACACUGGGACUGAGACACGGCCCAGACUCCUACGGGAGGCAGCAGUAGGGAAUCUUCCGCAAUGGACGAAAGUCUGACGGAGCAACGCCGCGUGAGUGAUGAAGGCUUUCGGGUCGUAAAACUCUGUUGUUAGGGAAGAACAAGUGCUAGUUGAAUAAGCUGGCACCUUGACGGUACCUAACCAGAAAGCCACGGCUAACUACGUGCCAGCAGCCGCGGUAAUACGUAGGUGGCAAGCGUUAUCCGGAAUUAUUGGGCGUAAAGCGCGCGCAGGUGGUUUCUUAAGUCUGAUGUGAAAGCCCACGGCUCAACCGUGGAGGGUCAUUGGAAACUGGGAGACUUGAGUGCAGAAGAGGAAAGUGGAAUUCCAUGUGUAGCGGUGAAAUGCGUAGAGAUAUGGAGGAACACCAGUGGCGAAGGCGACUUUCUGGUCUGUAACUGACACUGAGGCGCGAAAGCGUGGGGAGCAAACAGGAUUAGAUAC
rnacentral:rRNA from 1 species